GGGAGCACAUGUGUUUCUUCAGAAUCUACAUUCCUGCAAGGAUGGUUACAAAAGCGAGGUGAAGAAGCCAAGGAGUCCAAGUCCUCAUUUCAUUCUUGGGGACAUGGCGGCAUUCACCCAAGGCCACACGGGACAACGACCAGCACCCUGCCUUGCCUAACUGAGUGCUCAGGAGAUGUGACUGUGAGUCUUCACCACGCACCGGCUAUGUGAUCCCAGCAAGUCUCUGGGCCCCAUGUCUGGUACCUUUGGGUCACCUGAGCCAUUCUGUCAGCCUAGACUCUGUUGGUGCCAUGCUUAGACACCUACUCACCUGUCAUCCCCCCACUGCUGCCUCUGUCACUGAAGCCAUUGGGGACAGCAUUAUGGCUGGGAGCUGGCAGAGCUGUUGUCCCUUCCUGAUCCAUUUUAUCUGCUCCAGCCUAGGGUGCAACACAUGGAUCCAGUAUGGGACUUUUGGGGCAGUCUUUGAUCCUCUGGUCAGAGGAUGAGAUGGCGUUCCAUCAUCCAUUGGAAGAGACCAAGGGUCACACUUUGUCUCAGAAGAUCAGUCCAGCAGGAAGUCUCUGGGGAAAGGAAGAGGGUGUGUCUGGCUGAGGCCUUGCCCCCGGACGACUCGAUUCAUCCUUGCAAUGUGACCUGUAGUCACCCAGCUGGAGGAAG
rnacentral:lncRNA from 1 species